rnacentral:lncRNA from 1 species
GGCAGAUGUUGCUACUGGACUGACAAGUGGAACCUACUCCUGCUGGAGAAAGAAGUCACUGGUCCCAGAAGAAGAGGUAGCACAAGAAAAGGAAACCCAAGAAGCACCAGAGAGAAAGCAAACAACCAAGAAAGGCAAGAACACCUCACAUUGAGAAAAAGAAAGUCAGGCAGGAAAUUAUAUUUUUAAGUUAUUUGACCUGAUAUGUGCCAAAUGAGAACUUUU